rnacentral:rRNA from 1 species
CCUACGGGUGGCUGCAGUGGGGAAUAUUGGACAAUGGGGGGAACCCUGAUCCAGCCAUGCCGCGUGUGUGAAGAAGGUCCUCGGGUUGUAAAGCACUUUCAGUGAGGAAGAACGCCUGGUGGUUAAUACCCAUCAGGAAAGACAUCACUCACAGAAGAAGCACCGGCUAACUCCGUGCCAGCAGCCGCGGUAAUACGGAGGGUGCGAGCGUUAAUCGGAAUUACUGGGCGUAAAGCGCGCGUAGGUGGCUUGAUAAGCCGGUUGUGAAAGCCCCGGGCUCAACCUGGGAACGGCAUCCGGAACUGUCAAGCUAGAGUGCAGGAGAGGAAGGUAGAAUUCCCGGUGUAGCGGUGAAAUGCGUAGAGAUCGGGAGGAAUACCAGUGGCGAAGGCGGCCUUCUGGACUGACACUGACACUGAGGUGCGAAAGCGUGGGUAGCAAACAGGAUUAGAUACCCUUGUAGUC